AGUGAACGCUGGCGGUAGGCCUAACACAUGCAAGUCGAACGGCAGCACAGUAAGAGCUUGCUCUUACGGGUGGCGAGUGGCGGACGGGUGAGGAAUACAUCGGAAUCUACUUUUUCGUGGGGGAUAACGUAGGGAAACUUACGCUAAUACCGCAUACGACCUACGGGUGAAAGCAGGGGAUCUUCGGACCUUGCGCGAUUGAAUGAGCCGAUGUCGGUUUAGCUCGUUGGCGGGGUAAAGGCCCACCAAGGCGACGACCCGUAGCUGGUCUGAGAGGAUGAUCAGCCACACUGGAACUGAGACACGGUCCAGACUCCUACGGGAGGCAGCAGUGGGGAAUAUUGGACAAUGGGCGCAAGCCUGAUCCAGCCAUACCGCGUGGGUGAAGAAGGCCUUCGGGUUGUAAAGCCCUUUUGUUGGGAAAGAAAAGCAGCAGGUUAAUACCCCGCUGUUCUGACGGUACCCAAAGAAUAAGCACCGGCUAACUUCGUG
rnacentral:rRNA from 1 species